GAUGAACGCUAGCUACAGGCUUAACACAUGCAAGUCGAGGGACCGGCGCACGGGUGAGUAACACGUAUCCAACCUGCCCUUUACUCGGGGGUAGCCUUUCGAAAGAAAGAUUAAUACCCGAUAUAAAGGAUGGGGAUGCGUUCUAUUAGGUUGUUGGUGAGGUAACGGCUCACCAAGCCUUCGAUGGAUAGGGGUUCUGCGAGGAAGGUCCACCACAUGUGAACUGAGACACGGUCCAAAACCCUACGGGAGGAAGGAGUGAGGAAUAUUGGUCAAGGGGCGGUAGCCUGAACCAGCCAAGGAGCGGUAGGGAUGAAGGCUUAUGGGUCGUAAUCUGCUUUUAUAUAAGAAUAUGUAUUAUAUGAAUAAGGAUCGGCUAACUCCGUGCCAGCAGCCGCGGUAAUAC
rnacentral:rRNA from 1 species